CUCCGUAGGUGGACCUGCGGAGGGAUCAUUACACAAAUAUGAAGGCGGGCUGGAACCUCUCGGGGUUACAGCCUUGCUGAAUUAUUCACCCUUGUCUUUUGCGUACUUCUUGUUUCCUUGGUGGGUUCGCCCACCACUAGGACAAACAUAAACCUUUUGCAAUUGCAAUCAGCGUCAGUAACAAAUUAAUAAUUACAACUUUCAACAACGGAUCUCUUGGUUCUGGCAUCGAUGAAGAACGUAGCGAAAUGCGAUAAGUAGUGUGAAUUGCAGAAUUCAGUGAAUCAUCGAAUCUUUGAACGCACAUUGCGCCCUUUGGUAUUCCAAAGGGCAUGCCUGUUCGAGCGUCAUUUGUACCCUCAAGCUUUGCUUGGUGUUGGGCGUCUUGUCUCUAGCUUUGCUGGAGACUCGCCUUAAAGUAAUUGGCAGCCGGCCUACUGGUUUCGGAGCGCAGCACAAGUCGCACUCUCUAUCAGCAAAGGUCUAGCAUCCAUUAAGCCUUUUUUUCAACUUUUGACCUCGGAUCAGGUAGGGAUACCCGCUGAACUUAAGCA
rnacentral:rRNA from 1 species